rnacentral:lncRNA from 1 species
GUUCGAGUACAACAAGAGAAGUGCUAAGCAAAUCCCCCAGGAAGGAUAUUUGACCUCCACCAGCUUUUACAAACCAGUCCAACUAGAUGCCUCUGCUAAACAGAAAGACAAAAGCUUGUGAUGGUCUGGAAAAUCAACACUAAAUGUGCUAAGUUCAUUUAAGUAAGAACAUUUUGAGACCCAAACCUGAAAAUACCUGGCCAAAGAGGGCAUAUGUGUGUGUGUGUGUGUGUGUAUUCUUUUUUUUUUUUGAAACAGGGUCUUGCUAAAUUGCUGAAGCUGGGCCUCAAACUUCUGAUUCUCCUGCCUCAGCCUCCUAAAUCACUGGGAUUACAGGCAUGCACCAUCAAGCUUGGCUAAAGAGGGUACAUUGCUGAUAGAGUACAUAUAGUUGUAAGAGAAUAUUUUUCAAUUCUUAUUGGUUCCUUUGGCAGAACCCAGUUUGCAAAUCUAAUAGAAAGAUUUACCAGACAAAUGGGCUCAGAUACUGAUUGAAAACUAACCAAAUAGGCUAUGUUAAUUACUGUAAUUUAAACAUAUCAGGGUAAAGACAGAUUAAGGGGAUUCCAGGGCUUAAGUGAUCCUGUCUCAGCUUUCUGAGUAGCUGGAACUACAGGCAUGAGUCACCAUGCCUGGUGAUCCAUAUUGUAGCAUGUAUGAAUACUUUCUUUUUAUGACUGAAGAGCACAUUUUGUUUAUUCAAAUACUUAAUUGUUGAUCAAUAUCUGGGUUGGGUUGUUUUUACCUUUGUGCAGUUGUGAAUAAUGCUGCUAUGAACAUUUGUGUACAAGUAUUUGUUGGAAUACCUGUUUUCAGUCACUUUGGGUAUAGACUUAGGAAUGGAAUUGCUAUUUUGAAGCCAUAGCAAGAUUCUUCCUUGUGCUUACUCCCAAAAAAAAAAAACUAGGAAAAUUAAGAAUUAAAAAAUAACAGACAGAUCAAGGA